ACUAGAACAGCGUAACCAAAGCUCAAAUGGUUUUGCAUGUAAGUUGGAGGCGCUUGCAUUGUAUGGAUUGACAUUGCUUGCAUUAUCAUACUAGUAACACGUGCUAUCAGGCUAAACAACGGUUCAUUCAAGGGUUGAAAAUUGUGUCUCCCCGGACAAUGGGAACAAGAGAGUGUAAAAUCAGCAAAAAGGAAAUAUCAUUCUGGGUUCAUUGAGUCGUUGCGACGCGAUUUGCUGUGAGCAUACAUUAAAAAUAUAGAAGCGUAAAAGCAUAAAAACGUUAAAACGUAAAAAAAAUAAGCGUAAGAAGCAUAGAAACGUAGU
rnacentral:sRNA from 1 species